rnacentral:tRNA from 1 species
GGCUGUGUAGCUCAGCUGGUAGAGCGUUCGGUUCAUACCCGAUUGGUCGAGAGUUCAAAUCUCCCCGCAGCCACCA